AAGUCGUAACAAGGUUUCCGUAGGUGAACCUGCGGAAGGAUCAUUAACACGUAUCCAAACGUUAAACCCCCCUGUGAACCUUCACCUGUACUCGUACGUCCGUUAGAAAAAGCAGCAAUCCCUGGUAAAUCAUCGCCGAACAGUUUUCGAUUCAGGGACGUCUGCAAGGAGCGUGCAUCCCCAAGCAGUUAGUGUCUGAAAGUGUCAUUACCUGUGUAAGGAUGACGCAGUCACGAUCGUUGGAGGCCCACACGGCCGACGACCGGGUCGCUGGGCGCAAGCCCCCCUAUAACAAACCCCCUGCCAAUCGCGGCCGCGAUAAUACGCAGUCGACCAAAAACCGAACAACUGUUAACAAUGGAUAUCUUGGUUCUC
rnacentral:misc_RNA from 1 species